UAAGGAUGCAGAUACCUGAAAGGGUAGACUGAGUACAUAAGGGCACUGAUAAAGAAAUUUAUUAAGCGUGAAUUAAAGCACGCCAGCCUUAUGGGAAGAGCACCGCCGAGGUGUUCUUUUUUUGGAAAAA
rnacentral:sRNA from 12 species